rnacentral:rRNA from 1 species
GACGAACGCUGGCGGCGUGCUUAACACAUGCAAGUCGAACGAAAGGCCCCUUUGGGGGUACUCGAGUGGCGAACGGGUGAGUAACACGUGAGUAACCUGCCCUUGACUUCGGGAUAACUUCAGGGAACUGGGGCUAAUACCGGAUAGGAAUCCUUGCUUCAUGGUGGGGGUUGGAAAGCUUCGGCGGUUUUGGAUGGACUCGCGGCUUAUCAGCUUGUUGGUGGGGUAGUGGCUUACCAAGGCUUUGACGGGUAGCCGGCCUGAGAGGGCGACCGGCCACAUUGGGACUGAGAUACGGCCCAGACUCCUACGGGAGGCAGCAGUGGGGAAUAUUGCACAAUGGGCGGAAGCCUGAUGCAGCAACGCCGCGUGCGGGAUGACGGCCUUCGGGUUGUAAACCGCUUUCAGCAGGGGCGAAGCUUGUGGUGACGGUACCUGCAGAAGAAGCACCGGCUAACUACGUG